UAAGCAUAUCAAUAAGCGGAGGAAAAGAAAAUAACAAUGAUUCCCCUAGUAACGGCGAGUGAACAGGGAAAAGCUCAAAGUUGGAACCUCCUGGCCCUAGGCCUGGCGGAUUGUAAACUAAAGCUUUCGAGUAGCUCGGCUAGCCCAGUAAAUAAGUUCUCUGGAAAGGGACGACAAAGAGGGUGAAAUCCCCGUUUUUGGCUGGAGCAUAGUCCUGCGUUUGCUUGGAAGUGAAGAGUCAGGUUGUUUGGUAUUGCAGCCUAAAGUGGGAGGUAAAUCUCUCCUAAAGCUAAAUAUUGACGAAAGACCGAUAGCGAACAAGUACCGUGAGGGAAAGAUGAGAAGCACCUUGAAAAGGGGGUCAAAAAGUACGUGAAAUUGCUGAAAGGGAACCGUAUGAAAUCAGCCUGUCUCUUUGGUAAUCAGCCUGGACUUUGGUCUGGGUGCACUUGCCAGUGAGUCAGCCUACGACAAUUUGACUUGGGGGAAAAAAUCAGGGGGAAUGUGGCCUCGGCUUCGGUUGAGGUGUUAUAGCCCCUUGAAAAAUACUCUGGGUUGGAUUGAGGACUGCAGCGAGCCUUCUGGGAUGAACUGUGGGUGCUUGGUCGUAGCUAGGAAGAAAUCUCUAUCUCUGGUAGUGUCUUUUUAGCUGUGGUCAACUCGCCUACUUUUUCUUUUCUCGCUUAGU
rnacentral:rRNA from 1 species